CAUCACCUCCUCUCGGACGGCUCUUUUGCUCGGCUGUCUUGUCUUCUCCAAAAGUACAAAAGGCUCUUUUGCAAUUUGAUGUCCACUCAAAAUCUACUUUUCAGUUUUUAUUUUUUAUUUUGAAUGCUAUAUAGAAUAUUUUUUAUUUUGGAUUCUGUAAUUCUGGAUUUUUGAAUGUUACAUCAAAUUUUAUAAUAUGGAUUAUCUUUAUGAUGAGAACAAUGGAAUACUUAAUGAUGAUUAUGAUUACUAA